rnacentral:rRNA from 1 species
UAGGGAAUCUUCGGCAAUGGGGGCAACCCUGACCGAGCAACGCCGCGUGAGUGAAGAAGGUUUUCGGAUCGUAAAGCUCUGUUGUAAGAGAAGAACGUGUGUGAGAGUGGAAAGUUCACACAGUGACGGUAACUUACCAGAAAGGGACGGCUAACUACGUGCCAGCAGCCGCGGUAAUACGUAGGUCCCGAGCGUUGUCCGGAUUUAUUGGGCGUAAAGCGAGCGCAGGCGGUUUAAUAAGUCUGAAGUUAAAGGCAGUGGCUUAACCAUUGUUCGCUUUGGAAACUGUUAAACUUGAGUGCAGAAGGGGAGAGUGGAAUUCCAUGUGUAGCGGUGAAAUGCGUAGAUAUAUGGAGGAACACCGGUGGCGAAAGCGGCUCUCUCGUCUGUAACUGACGCUGAGGCUCGAAAGCGUGGGGAGCAAACAGG